AACUUUCAGCAAUGGAUCUCUUGGUUCUCGCAUCGAUGAAGAACGCAGCGAACUGCGAUAAGUAAUGUGAAUUGCAGAUUUUCAGUGAAUCAUCGAAUCUUUGAACGCACCUUGCGCUCCUUGGUACUCCGAGGAGCAUGCCUGUUUGAGUGUCA
rnacentral:rRNA from 1 species